rnacentral:rRNA from 1 species
AGUCUGACGGAGCAACGCCGCGUGAGUGAAGAAGGUUUUCGGAUCGUAAAACUCUGUUGUCAGGGAAGAACAAGUGCCGUUCGAACAGGGCGGCACCUUGACGGUACCUGACCAGAAAGCCACGGCUAACUACGUGCCAGCAGCCGCGGUAAUACGUAGGUGGCAAGCGUUGUCCGGAAUUAUUGGGCGUAAAGCGCGCGCAGGCGGCUUCUUAAGUCUGAUGUGAAAUCUUGCGGCUCAACCGCAAGCGGUCAUUGGAAACUGGGAGGCUUGAGUGCAGAAGAGGAGAGUGGAAUUCCACGUGUAGCGGUGAAAUGCGUAGAGAUGUGGAGGAACACCAGUGGCGAAGGCGACUCUCUGGUCUGUAACUGACGCUGAGGCGCGAAAGCGUGGGGAGCAAACAGGAUUAGAUACCCUGGUAGUCCACGCCGUAAACGAUGAGUGCUAAGUGUUAGAGGGUUUCCGCCCUUUAGUGCUGCAGCUAACGCAUUAAGCACUCCGCCUGGG